CGGUUGGCCUGGAGGAGACGGUCCCGGCGGUGGAGGACGGCUGGGGGAUCCGGCGGUGGAGGUCCGAAGGUGGCUCGUGAUUAGACCAACCAGCUCCUCAUCCAUGGAAGGAUUGAAGGAGUCACUGGGGAUGAAGAUCACUGCUCAGGGGCUGACGACCACUCAUCUUUCCGGAGAAGCGUCCUCAUGGUGCAGGCGGUCAAACCUCCACCUCUUUGAAGAGACCAAGCAGCUUGAUGACUGACUGGUUCUUUAUACUCAAGACCUCGUCCAGGAGCAGAGGACGGACCUAAGGCCCGCAGCGCAGCCGACUAGAGACUCCAUGUGGAACCGAGAAUAAGAUCUGACUUCAGCCAAUCAGCGGGAUGUCCUUGAACAAGAGCCAAUGGCUGAAGGUGCUCAAACGCAUUCUUUUGACUCGCUCCUCUACUAUUGCUGUAAUCAAGCUGGAUGGCUAUUUUGCUCCUUCUACUGACAAAAUCAAGUCUGCCACCUGGUGGCUGAUGAGGGCGUAGCAACUCGGGGUUCAAUUAAGUUGACCUCUCCUUCAGGCGACUUAAAGGGAGACCAGAUGUGCGGCAGCUGGGUGUCAUGGUGCAGAGACCCAACGCUGUACUGAACUACACCAGUGUGUCCUACUCCCAUAAACCCUGAGGAUCCCUGGAUGGCUACACCAGCACAUUAAUCCACACCCAACAUCAACACACAGUGCACACUCUAUAGAGCUCGUAAGUCCGCCCCUUGCGGCGGGACCUCGUGAGAUCGUAAGAUAUGACUGGGUUUCAAUGGAAAGAAAGUAAUUAUUUUCUCCAUUUUAUGUUGCACCACAUUUUGGGGGAAGAAUGUUUGAAUCAAUCUUUGUCAUUUAUUUCUGUACUCCACAUCUGUAAUCCCAGCUGUUGUAUUUUAACACGGUAGCUGGGAACCCUCUUUAUAGGGAGCGACUAGAGGGACGAGGCUGGAACCAAACCUGAGCCUGGAUCUUAACCUUCUUUCUAAACCUAAUGCCGCAAUUUAACCGCAAAUAAAGUGAGGCCUAAAGUAACUUUACUCUCUUACCUAAACUUGCUUGCCUAAACUCGCUUGUCUAAACUCGCUUGCAUAAAACCUAAACUCGCUUGCAUAAAACCUGAACUUGCUUGGCUAAACUUGCGUCGCUUGCCUAAUACCUGAACUUGCUUGCCUAAACUCGCUUGCCUAAUGCCUGAACUCGCUUGCCUGAACUCGCUUGCCUGAACUCGCUUGCCUGAACUCGCUUGCAUAAAACCUAAACUUGCUUGCCUAAACUCGCUUGCCUGAACUCGCUUGCAUAAAACCUAAACUCGCUUGCCUGAACUCGCUUGCAUAAAACCUAAACUCGCUUGUCCAAACACGUUACACAAAGUUAACCAUCCAUAAUCUUUAACCCAAACCAGACUUGUCCCUGGGUCGCUCCACUUUAAUUUAGAAGUUUCUUCUUUUACCUCAUCUGCGUUUUGAGUUUCAUUCUUUGAGGGCUUGAAGUGCUUUGGAGGAUAUUUGAACCUUUGUUUUCCGCAUCAAUAAGCAUGCUUUAUCUUUACCCAUUUUGUUUUGGAUUGCAUUUCUAUGUGUAAUCCGGCCAAAUGUUCAGUGUCCUUACAUGUAAUGUCUAUGGUCUGACGAUAAUCUGACCUCUUCAUGAAGCAGAAUGUGUGAAUGUUGUCCCGUGAGCUCCAGGCACUCUGUGGGCCUUUCAACGUUUCUUGAGAGUGAAAUUCAUUUUUGUGCCAUUUUCAUGUGUUCCUGAGUAUUUCAGACCUGUGGUGUUUCACAUGAGACAUUAAUGGGAACUUUUCUUUUUCUGCCUGCAUACGUAAUGCCUGCAUUAGUAGGGUGAUCACUGUUGAUCCCAAUAUUGA